UACGUAGGGGGCGAGCGUUGUCCGGAAUUAUUGGGCGUAAAGGGUACGCAGGCGGUUCUUUAAGUCUGAUGUGAAAGCCCACGGCUUAACCGUGGAGGGUCAUUGGAAACUGGUCGACUUGAGUGCAGAAGAGGGAAGUGGAAUUCCAUGUGUAGCGGUGAAAUGCGUAGAGAUAUGGAGGAACACCAGUGGCGAAGGCGGCUUCCUGGUCUGUAACUGACACUGAGGCGCGAAAGCGUGGGGAGCAAACAGGAUUAGAUACCCUGGUAGUCCCU
rnacentral:rRNA from 1 species